UGGGGAAUAUUGGACAAUGGGGGCAACCCUGAUCCAGCCAUGCCGUGUGAGUGAUGAAGGCCUUCGGGUUGUAAAGCUCUUUUGGCGGGGACGAUGAUGACGGUACCCGCAGAAUAAGCCCCGGCUAACUUCGUGCCAGCAGCCGCGGUAAGACGAAGGGGGCUAGCGUUGUUCGGAAUUACUGGGCGUAAAGCGAGUGUAGGCGGUUGCCGUAGUCAGGUGUGAAAGCCUUGAGCUCAACUCAAGAAAUGCACUUGAUACUGGGUGACUAGAGGACCGGAGAGGAUAGUGGAAUUCCCAGUGUAGUGGUGAAAUACGUAGAGAUUGGGAAGAACACCAGUGGCGAAGGCGGCUAUCUGGACGGUUACUGACGCUAAGACUCGAAAGCGUGGGGAGCAAACAGGAUUAGAUACCCUGGUAGUCCACGCCGUAAACGAUGGGUGCUAGACGUUGGCGAGCUUGCUCGUCAGUGUCGCAGCUAACGCGUUAAGCACCCCGCCUGGGGAGUACGGCCGC
rnacentral:rRNA from 1 species